rnacentral:rRNA from 1 species
GAUGAACGCUGGCGGCGUGCCUAAUACAUGCAAGUCGAGCGAACAGACGAGGAGCUUGCUCCUCUGACGUUAGCGGCGGACGGGUGAGUAACACGUGGAUAACCUACCUAUAAGACUGGGAUAACUUCGGGAAACCGGAGCUAAUACCGGAUAAUAUAUUGAACCGCAUGGUUCAAUAGUGAAAGACGGUUUUGCUGUCACUUAUAGAUGGAUCCGCGCCGCAUUAGCUAGUUGGUAAGGUAACGGCUUACCAAGGCAACGAUGCGUAGCCGACCUGAGAGGGUGAUCGGCCACACUGGAACUGAGACACGGUCCAGACUCCUACGGGAGGCAGCAGUAGGGAAUCUUCCGCAGUGGGCGAAAGCCUGACGGAGCAACGCCGCGUGAGUGAUGAAGGUCUUCGGAUCGUAAAACUCUGUUUUAGGGAAGAACAAAUGUGUAAGUAACUAUGCACGUCUUGACGGUACCUAAUCAGAAAGCCACGGCUAACUACGUG